CGGAGCAUGCGGAUUAAUUCGAUGCAACGCGAAGAACCUUACCAAGGCUUGACAUACACCGGUAACGCCCAGAGAUGGGUGCCCCUUUGUGGUCGGUGUACAGGUGGUGCAUGGUUGUCGUCAGCUCGUGUCGUGAGAUGUUGGGUUAAGUCCCGCAACGAGCGCAACCCUCGUCCUAUGUUGCCAGCGGGUCAUGCCGGGGACUCAUGGGAGACUGCCGGGGUCAACUCGGAGGAAGGUGGGAUGACGUCAAAUCAUCAUGCCCCUUAUGUCUUGGGCUUCACGCAUGCUACAAUGGCCGGUACAAAGGGCUGCGAUACCGCGAGGUGGAGCGAAUCCCAGAAAGCCGGUCUCAGUUCGGAUUGGGGUCUGCAACUCGACCCCAUGAAGUCGGAGUCGCUAGUAAUCGCAGAUCAGCAACGCUGCGGUGAAUACGUUCCCGGGCCUU
rnacentral:rRNA from 1 species